AACGAUGACACGACUUCCACCCAGAGGAGAAGGAGGAGGAGAUGGUUCAGAUCCCUGCAGACUGCAGUCGGAGUGUUCGAUGGUGGAUCGGUGAGACGCUGUGGACCCGCAGCUGAUGGAGCAGAGCUACGGGGAGGUGAACCAGCUCGGCGGGAUGUUCGUCAACGGGCGGCCGCUUCCCAACGCGGUGCGGCUGCGGAUCGUGGAGCUGGCGCAGCUCGGUAUGCGGCCCUGCGACAUCAGCCGCCAGCUGCGCGUCUCCCACGGCUGCGUGUCCAAGAUCCUGGCCCGCUAUAACGACACCGGCUCCAUCCUGCCCGGAGCCAUCGGCGGCAGCAAGCCCCGGGUCACCACCCCCGCCGUGGUGAAGAGCAUCCGGGAUUACAAGCAGGACGACCCGGGCAUCUUCGCCUGGGAGAUCCGGGACCGGCUGCUGUCGGACGGGGUGUGUGACAAGUACAACGUGCCGUCUGUGAGCUCCAUCAGCCGGAUCCUCAGGAAUAAAAUCGGGACUCUUUCACAGCCGUAUGAGAGCAGCAAACCGGCCCCGGCUCAGCUCCAGUACGGACACGUCUACCCGUACUCCUCCUACACCGGGCCCGCAGUCACCCACACCGGGGCCAGGGUCGGCGGCGGCCCUGCAGGACACGUCGGCCUGCCGCGGAGCUGGCACAACAUCCUGGGCAUCCGAGCCUUCAUGGACCCGACAGCACUGUCUGGAUCUGAUGCACACGCAGCCAAAAUGGAGGAUUGGACCAGUAUGACCAGCAUGAGAGCGUUUCCCAGUGGAAUCAGUGCAGUGGAGAAAACCAACAACGAGCCAGACCUCAAAUACCCACAGCAGACUUCAUCCAGUCUGCCUGGUUACGUCUCAGCUUGUGCGUAUUCUCCACCGAACCAGUACGGCGUGUACGGAGGUCCAGCAGCCAACUACAUGAGCACUGGACACCACUGGCAGCCCCAGUCCUGCAGUCUAUCUCCCAGUUUGACCCAGAGUCAGGCUCGUCCCGGCCCUGCAGCCCCGCUGGAGGCUGCAGAUUUCCACACUGCAGCAUCUUUCAAACUUCCACAAAGAGAUGCAGCUUCAAGCCUCAUUUCAAGUGCUCAUAAACACACAGCAGGCAGAACCAGUUGUUCAUGAAGCUCAACAAACAGAUAAUGAUCACCAGAGUUCAACAGGUCGAUAUUUAAAAGAGGACAGGAAACCUCAGGGUCCUCUGUACAAACAUCAUCCUGCUGCUCACAGAUUGUCUUCGGCCUCGUGACGACGCUGAGGAAUCACAAGAAGACGAAGAUGUGACGCUAAAAGACUGUCAGGUUUUAUUUUCUGAUAGAGCUGAAGACCUGAGAGAGAAAUCUCCUCUGACUGUUACAACUCAGCCAGGAUCAACUCCUUGCAGUGCGGUGAAGGAAAAACACAUAAAAUGCACCCAAAAAUGUAAAAUCCAUCACCAUUCGUUUUCCUUUUAACGGUCUGUUUUUUCCCCUUUAUACCCUGAACAGAAAUAAACACAGUUUUAAAGUAAUGAUUCUACAUUUUUGGGAAAUAUGAGCAUAUUUCCUGAAAUGUAGAAUUAUAGCUUUCUUGCUGAGAGUUAGAUGAGAGGAUGGAUACCACUCUCUUGCCUGUCUGUUAAACAUUACGCCACAGCAAACAGCCAGUUAGCUUAGCUUAGCAUAAAGACUGGAAACAGGGUGAAAAAGCUAGCCUGGCUUUAUCCAAAGGUAACAAAAUACACCUUCCAGCACCUCUAAAGCUCACUAAUUGACACAUUUUAUCUCAUUUUGCAAUGUUUGUAAUGUUCCAGGCUGUGCUUUCAUCCGCUCUGAUGCUGUCGUAAUUUCGAUUACAGAAAUAGUAACCAUUUGUAAAACAGCGAAUAGUUGUUUUUAAUUCGACACGCACUUUUUGUACAGAUUAAACAACCAAGCUGUUAUUUAGCGAGCUUUAGAGGCGCUGGUAGCGAGAUGUUGUUACAUUCAGACAGAGCCAGGCUUGCAGUUUUCUCCUGUUUCCAGUCUUUAUGCUAAGCUACGCUAAGCAGCUGCUCACUGUAGCUUUAUAUUUAACAAACUUGAGAGGAUCGAUCAAUAAGAUUAUCUGUUGAUUAAAGCUCCAUUCUUUUUCCAUUCUUUUGUCAUAAAAGGCAAAAAUAAAAAUUGCUAUCGGGAUUGUAUCAUCUUGUAAAAUAUUUUGGUAAAGCUGUAAGUAUAUUUUUCUAUAAAUGUGCUUAAUAAAGACAUGCAAUAGAAAAUGUAUGUCAGUAGUAUUGAGAGCACGAAGCGGGAACAGUUUUCCAGAUGUUGGAGCAGAGCAGAGAAGAAUAACAGAUGGUCAAAUAUAAUAAAUAUAUUUUUAACCUAAAGUUCAGUUAGUAAAUACACACAGUUUUUAUAGGAUCGUCUACCAUGACGUACACAGAUAUUUAUACUCAUUUAAAGUAAAGGGGUUUUGCAGAAUUGUCCAAUAUCAACAUUGUGUCUGGCAAUAAUCUGUUUUGUUACCCUGCCAUUAAGGGUUAAGCUAACACCAGCUAAUCUCCACUGCCAUGUUAACUUUAAAGGUCUAUCCUUAUUAUUUAAACUACCUGAAACAUAAUAAAUCAUAUAGAUAAUAUUUAAAAAAAACAAGUUAAAUACUUGAGCUUUAGGAUUUUCUGUUGUGGUAAAUAACUUAUUAAUACGUUUAUCUGAGAGCUUUAGUUACUAGUUACUUUACAAAUGAAGAUUUUAAAAACAAAACAUACAACAAUUUAUCAAUCAUUUAUAAUCAUUUAGGUCAUUUUGAAUGCAACGUUUUAUGCUUCCAGUUUCAUAAAGGUGGUAAGUACUUUAACUUUUAAUACCUUAAGUAUAGUUCCCUGAUAACACCUAUGUUUUCAUGAGUGAAUAAUCACCUGACAACAGGAAUCGUUGUGUUUUUGUUACCUUAGAAUUAGUCGUUGGUAUCUACAGAUGCUGCAGGACGCCUUUCAUGGAGUCCGCGACGUUGACCCUCCAUCUUUCUACAGUAACCCAGAACGGACAAACCAAACACUGGCUGUACAUACGAACAUUCAUCUUCAACUAUGCCACUAAAUCCUCCACACUGGACAUUUAAAGCAACAACAUGGAACUUUUUUUGUUGAUUCUGGCGGCCCCUGUAGAGAGCGUGUUUCUACCGCCUUGUUUCAUUGAUUUCAAGGGGAAUCCGAACAAAUCCAACCCUGUGGCAGACAUGAAGAAUAACUACAUAGAAAGAGCCAAUCUUCCUGCUGAUGGUCUUGUUUGUUUAAGUAGGUCAUAUAGAGGCAUCAGUGAGACUGUUUCAUCAGUAGUUAAAAUUGCUUGUAGUAGGUUUAAGUAACAUUUUCAGUGCAGGAUCUUUACCUUUACAUAACAAAUGAUUUUUAAAGUGUGUUAUUGGUACUAAAGGAUCAAACAGGGAAGAAAAACAACCAAACCUGGAAAACCAGCUCCAGUUUGUCACUCAUUGUCUGGUCUCUGUGCAGGUCAGGAGAGGUUUCCUGCAGGUAAAGAAAAAGGUGUAAGAUGAUCCAGCAGCAAACAGCUCAAAGUAAAUAGAGGCCGUCCAUUAAUACCUGAACAAUCUGAGUCGGGCUGAGACGCAGACUGACAGAGCAAACAUCAGCUCAUUGUUUAAAACUGCCUCUGUAGGAAGCGUUUGAGUCAUUUAGGAAGCCUGUUAAGUCCUCGUUCUGUUCAGUGAGCUGCUUUGUAUUGCUCAGUGAUUCAGCUACAAACAUCCACCUGGAGUCACUUCCAGGACUCUCAGGGAUGGACAUUAAAGGAUAAGCCCGGUAUUCCUCAGUUAUAAUGACCAAAUUAAGGAUGGAGAUCAGGAAAACGCAACAACGUUCAUUUUUAUUGAUGAAACACGAUCAAACAAAACACCAGAUUAGCAAAAUGUAUAAAGAAAAAGACAUUUAUUUUAUUAUUAUUAUUUAUAAAAUGUAAACAAAACAGUUCACAGACCAUCUUAUACCUAACACACUUGCCAUAGUUGUGCUCACACUGUUUCCUAUUGAGUUUUUUGACGAGAAAGGGUAUGAAAAAAGAGACAAAUAUAUAUAUAAUGCCUUUGAGAUGUAGCCUAGUGGAGUAGAAGUAUAAAGUUGCAUAAAAUGGAAAAUUUGUACUCUCUACUGACAUUAACAACUGGAUUAGAGCUUGUGUUUUGUACACAUGCUGCCCCUUUAACCACACCAAACCUCCCUUGUGUUUAUGUGUGUUGGUACCUGCUCAGAUAAUGUUUUGUAAUAUGACUCAUUUUCACCUUUCUGCAUAGUUGUUCUUCACACACUCAUCGCCCCCACACGCCAACCAACUGGGGUCAACGUUUGUUUCUCAGCACCAACAGAAUCAAGGCGCCGGCGCGGUGAAGAAAACUGGCUGAACGUGAAACAACAGUGAGCUGCCGAACUCACAAACCGUGCGCUCUGAUACGAUCAUAAUUAGAUCAGACGUAGUUUAAACACCUGCUGUUGCAAUAACUAUGAUGCACCAAACUUCUCUGACUUCUUGUAUGACUGUGAGUCUUGUACAACAUACACAUCCUGUUGAUGAAGUAGGCAUAGAACAAUUACUUUAAUUGAAAUACAGUAUCACAGAGUGAGUCAGUCUUGCGUAACUCGUUCAUGAUCACUAAUAUCAUCUCGGUAGCUGUUAACCACAGUUGAAUCUUGCAUUGUGAACACCUCACAUAGAUUCGUGACUGAAUGCCGUGUGGUUUCUUCUGAAUGCUUGGCUGCAGUCUUCGCCAGUGUAGCGUGGCCUUGCACAAAGCACGUUCCUGGCUUAUUACUUCAAAACCCUGUCAACAUCAGGUAUAAAUCAUGAGGGCUUAACAUGUCAGACAGGGAAUCUCCUUUAUUUUUUUUCUUUUCCUCUCACGUGAUGGAGGUUUUCUCCUCAUCGGAAUGAUUUUGCAUGUGCUUGUAAUAUUAUAUUCCAUUUCUGACAAUACAUCGUCCUAAAUGUUACACACUGGAGCUUUUAACAGCUUCAAAAACAUGUUACACAUACCCAUAAAAAACCUGCUCAAAACCCAUUAGAUACCAUUUUAGAAAUUAUUUAAAUUAUAUAUCUGUUGUGGGGCUGUCCAACUGAAAGACGCAUGAUGUUUGUCUGAUAACAGUCAUGAACUCGCUCUGUACUCAAAGUUUCCAUAAACACAAACACAACUGUCUCACUGGGGCAGAUUUAGAUACGGUUCCCAUAGAUCUCACCUCGAUAUCAUACUGCUGAAAAAACAAGUGUCUUUUGCCAUCUGAUAGCAUCUCUAAUGAAUAGCUGCCUGUGCUGCAGGAAACUGACAGACAGACAGAGAGACAUAACAAAGCUGUGAGGGAGGAGGGAACAGGUUCAUGUUGUAUGGAUAAUCACAAAUGCCAUCUGAGCUAUUUGACUGUCGUCCAUGAUGCCACACACCCUGCUGACAUGCCAUCUUUAACCUCAAACACUCCUGUAAGAUAGUUCCCUGCUGCCACCCAGGCUCUACACUUUCUUCCCGUCAGCUCAUCUUUGUGUUAUUGUGAAUGUUUUGUGUUGCUGCUUAUGGCGACUCGUGAUAGUGCCACAUGAGUAGCUUAAUGCAGAUCUCCAUCAGAGGUAUGUCGGGUGUGAUAGAGUUUUGUGGGUCUACAAAGCGUGAUAGUUUUCAAGAUUCAUGACUGGAAAGUAAGAAAAAUAUGUUCCUUCAGGUGAAGGCGUCAAAAACAACAACUAUCCCUUUCACAGUCUUCUUCAUCCUGAUACUGUUGCUUGCUUUUGGACUAUGUUUUCCAUAUUCCAUCUCAAUAGCACUGAGUUCUAGGACCAUAGGCUAGUGCUGUGACAGAUGCCUUGUGAGUAAUUCUGUUCAAACAAAGAUAAAAUCUACCCAUCAACAAAAGGUUUAAAAGGUUUAAAAAACAUAAUCAGACCGUCUCAAGUGAAUUACCUUAUCCCCCAGUCAGAUCCACGUUUAGAGGUAGAUAAUGUUACAUUGAUGUGGGGUUCCCCUAAAGGCUGUUUCAUAGUUGUGUGUCGGCUCUACGGCAAGCCUACGCCACCCCCUAUGCAAGUUACCUACGCUGUUAUGAGCAACCUGUGCGCUGGUAUGUCUGUCGAUUUGUAACUAACACUACCAAAAAGUGUCAAUCUGUCUUGUGUUUUCCUCGUGUAGUGAUAGGUGUGAACAUACAUAUCUAACCAGUAAAGGAAUCAGAAAACUAUCCCAUAAAAACUAUGUCAGAUCAAAGGUUUUCCGUCGUUUCUGCUGAUAUUCCAUUAGUUUACAGUUUGAUGUCUCACCACAAUCCCAUUAAAGAUGCAAUUUCA